AAUUUAAAAGUUAACCCUGAAGAUGAUCGGUCAAACCGGUCGAAUGCACGGCAGUAUCAACAAAUAAGUGUUUUCAUUUGCGGUCGAUUGUGUAAGCAACACAACAACUGGAGGCCCUAACACCAUUCCCCCAGCCAAACAA